rnacentral:lncRNA from 1 species
GGUGGCCCCCCUGACCCCUCCCUGGGCACAGGUAGGGAACCUGAAGGCCCACCUGAAGAUCCACAUCGCUGACGGGCCCCUCAAGUGCCGAGAGUGUGGGAAGCAGUUCACCACCUCAGGUAGGGCCAGGGCUGCCCUGGCUGCCCUCACACCCCUGCUCCUCGGCCACCGGUGGUGCCCCACGCCAGGUUCGCCCUCGGUCUCGCCACAGGGAACCUGAAGCGGCACCUUCGGAUCCACAGCGGGGAGAAGCCCUACGUGUGCAUCCACUGCCAGCGACAGUUUGCAGACCCCGGCGCUCUGCAGCGGCACGUCCGCAUUCACACAGGUGAGAAGCCAUGCCAGUGUGUGAUGUGCGGUAAGGCCUUCACCCAGGCCAGCUCCCUCAUCGCCCACGUGCGCCAGCACACCGGGGAGAAGCCCUACGUCUGCGAGCGCUGCGGCAAGAGGUCCUGCCCCCUCCCCCACACCCACUGGCCAGACACCCCACAGUGAGGGGGCUCAGAAGACAAACUGGGGGCUUGGCUGGGGACUGAGCUGACUGCUGCCCACGCCCCAGGCUCUGGUCCUAGGGGUCCUUUUCAGUCUAGA